rnacentral:misc_RNA from 1 species
GAUGAAGAACGUAGCGAAAUGCGAUAAGUAAUGUGAAUUGCAGAAUUCAGUGAAUCAUCGAAUCUUUGAACGCACAUUGCGCCCGCCAGUAUUCUGGCGGGCAUGCCUGUUCGAGCGUCAUUUCAACCAUCAAGCCCCAGGCUUGUGUUGGGGACCUGCGGCUGCCGCAGGCCCUGAAAACCAGUGGCGGGCUCGCUGUCACUCCGAGCGUAGUAGUUACAUCUCGCUCUGGGCGUGCUGCGGGUUCCGGCCGUUAAAAGCCUUAUUUACCCAAGGUUGACCUCGGAUCAGGUAGGAAGACCCGCUGAACUUAAGCAUAUCAAUAAGCGGAGGA